rnacentral:lncRNA from 1 species
UACCACUUCAGUUACUACUUAGUUAUUCCUACCAGGGGAUUAAUUCACUGAUUGGGUUAAGACUCUCACAACCCAAUCAUUUUUUCUCUGAACCAUCUUGCAUUGUUUUGGGAGGGGGGGGAUGCCUUACAUCCAUACUAUAAUAUGGGGCUCUAAUUUACAUUUUUAAAAGCUCAUUGGCUGAGAGGGCUUCAGUCCUUAUAGCAUGUCAGGAACGUAAAACUGGUGAAUAUUACUGGGAAAAAGCCAAAAGUUUAGUCUAUGGAAAUGUUCUAAAAGAAGUCAAGCUAUUGAAGACAAAUUAUCCAAGAAAAUUUAUUAAAAUUUGGUAAGAGCAGCAAGAAUCUGUGUUAUUUCAUCCAGAACCUACUUCUUCCUUACCUCUCCCAACUGAGAUAACUCUGCUCCAAAAUGUUACAGUCUGUUCCCUAGUUCCAGGCCACUGUCUUCUGGGGAGGAGCAUACUAAACAUGUUUCUUCCUGCCUCCAGCUGCUGUUGUUAGCCAAGUGUAACCAAGAGAUAGGCCCCCACCCCUUUCCUACUCAGUCCCUGCUCCUGGGACAGAGGCUCUAUUUUGGACAAGUGAAGCUGGGAUGUCACGCAGUGAGAAGUGUGCCAUUUUCCC